CGAACAUAAUUGUUCUAGGCAGAUCUUUGAUACAUACUUGUGUUUUGAGAUGUAAGCGGCGGCGGCGGCAUCGCUUACUUUUUUGGACGGUCACUGGUACUUUUCAAGGAUUAGCAGGAACGGGAUGGCGGCCAAGACCAGCAAUUGUAAUUACACCUAUGUCUCUUUUUCAUUCGACCACCCAACCUACCGACAGGCGUCUUAUUCAUGCAUGUUAUUCGGUGUAGGAAGGGGCAGGGGGUGAGUGAAAAAGUACGACGUCUAGGUUGACCUCAUUCGUUCGCAUCAAUUGGCUCGCGGCGGUCGUCUUAUUCUCUGGACGCCGUCCGUCUCAGCGCAACGCCUAUUAAAUGUUGAUUCUGCUCAACCAGUUU
ensembl:ncRNA VB0395L.2 ncRNA